CCCAGACCACUCCCCCCAAGUCACCAGCCAGCACACCAAGCCCAGAAAAAAGUUUCUUUCUUUUUAAUUAAACCAGCUUUAAUUAAAAAUAAUAAUAACCCAGUAAGUCCUAAGUUUUCCAGGGGGUGGGGCAGACCUAAAGGCCCACCAACUCCCCUUUCAGUCAGGAGCCCUGGUGCUGCCUGUCUCUAAAAUCUCCAAGAAGUGUCCUCAGGGCGUGAAGAAGGCAGCCAGGUGUGUCUACGUGAAAGGGGGGCUCUCUCCCAGGAAGAAGCUGAGGGCAGACAGCUCCUGAGGGCAAAGCCUGGGCCUCAUCCUCUUGUGGAUCCAGGAGAGCAGUCGCUGAAGAGAAAGAGGAAGAAAAGGAGUGGCUAGGAAAGAAAGUUUAUUUCCACUGCAGGAAGCACUGCCUCCCAUCUGAGAAAUGUCCCAAGCAGGAAUCAGGAAUUCAUCCUGAGGGGAUGUGCCGAGUGAUGUACGUUCAAAGAUGCUCAUCACUGUGUUAUUUAUCAUAGAGGAGAAAUUGAACCUAAUAUUCCUGGGAGUACAAAGUCGUGAAGGAAAAGCCUCAUUGAAGAAGAGUAACCUAAGAGAAGCAGGUUCUGCUCUGAUGAACUCCCAUAAAGGCGUUCCCAUAAAGGUGUGAGCCUGAGUGAUAAUCUAGAUAUGGUACGGUUGACAUCAGGUAUAUGGCGGCAGCCAGAAAUUCAACUUUGUCCAUCAGCCUCUGCACAACAGGAAAGAUGGUGACCUUCCAGGCUUAUCUGAGGUCCAAGAGUAACAUCACAAACACAGUAACUACACCCAGCCAAAGAAAAGCAUACCUGAAUCCAAGAGAGUAUUAGCACUGGCCUCAGGGAUGAGGAAAUAAAGGAGUAAGUGAUUAGGACCAUUGUUUUCCUUUCUCUUUGGUACAAAAUAAAUGAGCUUCCUUUCUUUCAUUAAAAAUAAAUGUUUACAAUUAA
rnacentral:lncRNA from 1 species